CCCCAGUGACCUUGUGACGUAGUACGGAGGAAGAGCGCCUUGGCCGGCUGAGCUAUGCCGGGUCGAUGAUCCACUGGAAGAAUUAUCCCUUGAUUCCUAUUAUACCCAUUCAUCUAUAUCCAUUGACCCCUGUCUUCAACAGACUCAGUGAUUGAGGAUCCAAUGCUCUUGCAGCUGAAGUGAACAAACCCAUAUUUACAAGGAGAAAGUGAGAAUUGCCAAUGCUGGAGAUCAAAGUCAAGAGUGUGGUGC